rnacentral:lncRNA from 1 species
UCCGGGUGGAGAGGGUGACCUUGUUUUGUCUGUGUCUGCACACAGACUAACUGUGUGUCUCUGCGUUUGUCAUCGCCUCAGAUUUAGCAUCCUGGCAUCUUGUCUGACUCUGUCUGUCUCUUUAAGGGUAACUGGAGAUUCAAACGACUCUCUUUUUCCUCCACUACUGAUUCCUUGCUGCUGGUCUGUGCGGCCGCUCCCGGCCAAACCGUCCCUUCAGGCCUCCUCUUCAUCGGAAGAGAGGAAGACAAGGACUUCUCCAAGGGAGAAGAUGGAGAAGGGGCCGCAGCCAGGUUUUAGCCACGCGGAGUUCUCGGGAGCAGUUCAGAACCACAGGUGGCUAUGCCAUAAAAGUUAUCGGGGUAGUAGCCUCGUAGACGACGGAGCUGGAAUCCCUGCCUGCCUGUCGGAGUCUCUGACUAGACCUGAGAGUUUUCCAGUCAGGACUAGAGGUAUCCAAGAUGGCGGCUUGCCCACCUGUUUCCUCUUUGCCGCCUGACUUCUGACAAUCCUCUUCUGCCCUGAAAUCCCCCACCUGCUCUCCUGGGCUUUUCAUUCUGAUAAUUUGGGAGGACAAGGCUUAAAUUUCAGGGGGCUGCCAGGAAUGGGAUCCCCGCAUCCCCUGGGUUUGAGUCUGUCACCGGAGAAGCGGAGCCAGCUCACGACGGAGCCGCAGAGUCAGCCAGACGUCCGAAGCCGUCUCUGGAAGCCGAGUCGCGGAGGGAAACGUUCGCUUGCGUGCAGUGUGAAAGGACCUGUUAAUCACUCCUGACUCUUUUCAGUCAUUCCCACCCUCGGGCGUCAAAACCCUGGUGUCUGCUUCAUCUUCUCACUCAAGGGAUGAUGGCACGGUUCAUUUUUAAGACUUGCAAAGCGACUCGAUGCGAGUUCACGGAUGUGUUAGAGAAUUAUUCCCUGCCCGCAGCCUCGAGCCAUCUGCCUUUGCUCGUCCCAGGCCCACGGGGACCAGCCACCCCAAUUCUAAGCAAGACGGGGGGAAGGCCCCCGGCUGAAGAUGGCAGUUGACAGGUGAUGUGACACCUCCUGGGACACUGGCUGGGUCCGACCUGAUUAACUUGUACUACCCCAAUGCUUAGAACGGUGCUUGGUACACAGUAAGCGCUUAACGAGUACCAUAAUUAUUACCGGUGGUACCCUCAGAGGACGACGCUACCUACCCAAAAGGACCUUGGUCGUCAAACUAGCGUUUCCAUGCGACUCCGUGCAUAAAUCGGCUUUGUAUUUCUUUAGCUGCUAGCCAAUCCAAGGCCGCAGGACUACCCACCCCAUCUGAAAGCUAUUCCUGUUCUGGCCCUUCCACCCCCCCCCCCCCCCCCCGCCCACCCCCUCCGGUUAUAUUUAGCCGCAAAUGAAACCGUCACGUGCAAUGUCACAGGGUCCAUUUCAGCCAACUGAUGUGCAAGCAGUUUUUUUUAUUAGACAGAUGAUAAAAACUUUUUAAUUUUUGCUAUUUGCAGGGCCCAAGGAGAAAGCCACCCUAACGUUGAUGCCCGAUGACAGUUAGUCAAUGAAGAGAAGUGAAAAAAAACCCGGGUGGUACUGUCUACCUGUCGGAGCUCACCAGCACUAAAUUACAGAAUUAAUAGGCUUUUAGAAGAGACUGACACAUAGUUACUGUGAAAAAGACAAUUAAAUGUAGAAAGCCACUUUUCUCACUGCAUUUAAUUUUAACUGGAGGCUCUGAGACUCAAUAAAUCUUUUCCUUAUUUCUCUCUACUUUUCCACAGAUAUUAAACCCUUAAGAGGAGCUCCAAGAAAGAUUUCUGGCAUAAGAAAUGCCCCUUUCUCCUCUCCACCUCCUUCCUCUCCAGAAGGGUGGGGUUUAUCUUCUUCCUAUUUUUGAAUCGGGUUUUUUUUCUCCCCAUAAGAGGGUGGAAGUGUUUUUCCACCCAGAAUUUAAUGCGGUCGUUCCUUUGGUCCCUGAUGGGAGACGCCAUUAGAAAUACCACUUUAAGAAAGGGAGAUUGCAGGGUGAGAAGCGAUUUGCAAUCUGCUUCAGACCGUUAGCAAAACGGUAUUGUGAAGGAGACCCGGAAAUGGAAGGAAAUAAAGAUUGCAGUGCUCAGCGAAGACUGACAUCUGUAGCUUAGCCCUUCUGGAAACGUCGCAUUCUGGGGAUUC